GGUAGAUGCUUGGUGAUGUCAGUUUCUCUCCCUCUCCUGCUCCCACUCGAAGUUGCAGUGAGCUCCAAGGUUCUGGGCCCCCGGCAGUGGGACCACGUGUAGAAUGGUGAGCCCUGUCUCAAGGAGCCCUCGGUUACCCCACAAGAGUGAGAAGUAUGAGACCCAUUGCCCCUUUGAGUUUCACAGAGGAUGGCUCAAAAUUGAGCACGCUCCCCCAGACCGCGGACGUGCAGGAGAGAAGACGGGUGUGGAUUUGCGAUGCUCACGGGAGCUCUCAGAGGGAGGGACAGAGGUGGGAGCAGAGGCAGGAAGGCGCACUGGAGCCCCAUGGGAGGAACGCCCUCCUUCUCUGGGCUAAGUCUGUGGCCGAAAUACCACCAUCGGCCUCUUUCCUGAGGAAAACAUGCAGCUGCCAGGAGAGACAAGGAGCUGCCUUUGGACGGUCUCACUUGCCAGCAGGAUCCGCGAGCAGCAUGUGCGGAUGGGCUGCUGUUUUUCUGCAGAUGUUGGGAUGGUGCAUGUGCGUGUGCGUGAGGUGUGUUUGGCAUGGAAACCACGGAGGCAGGGGCUGUCCUGUAUUUGCCGCGCACCCUGAGCCAGCACAAUGUUGGCGCACGGCGGGCAUCGACGAUCCUUUACUGGACACGUGCAUCUGGUCCUGCUCCAAGCGUCAUGGUCGCUGUGAACCAAGUGUGCACUAUGAGCCAGGCGUCCUAUCACUAAACCUGUGAGCCGGCACCAGCCCGCCUUAUAAACAAGGAAACGAGGCUCUGGAAGUUUCCGUAGCACUCCCCAGGUACGAGGCCCGGGUCAAACCUGACUCAGACUCCAGCUCGUGCUCUUUGCACUGGCACAGCUGCCCGCCCCUCGGCUGCCUCCGGGUCUCCAGGCUUCCUCACCCCUAGCCCCGCGGCCUCUUGAGCCGGGUGAUUCUUUGCUGUGGAAAAUGGUCCUGUGCAUUGUAGGCUGUGUAGUGGCAUUCCUGGCCUCUGCCCACGAGAGCCAUUGGACCUCCCCACGACAAAAACGUCUGGACAUUGUCAAGUGUCCCCGGGGGGCACCGUCUCCCCCAGCUGAGAACCACCGUAUCGCCUCCCUCUCCCCCACCCCUCAGGACGACAUAUGGAGAAGCCCACGCUGGGACGUCAGCCUCACACAUCCAGUUGCCUCCUGGACACUUGCACUCAAAUGUCCCACCGCCCCUCAGUCCUAACACAGCCCAUCCUCCUCUCCUGACUUGGACCGUAGACCGGCCCCCUGGCCAGUGUCAGAUGGAAGCAGAUCUCCGUCUGGGACCAGAGAGCAAGAGAGAGGAUGACCAGAGGCUUGAGCGCUCUGGACACACGUCUCCAAGCAACUUUCGCUCCCAGCCAAUAGGCUGGCGCACGUUAACUGUGAUUUGGGGCAAGUCCCUCUCUCUGACUUUUGAUUUUCUCAUCUGUGAAAUAAGAAGGUUGGCCACCGGGUCUCUUCCUGCCCCGAAAUGCAUCACCCAGGGAAAGUGAGAUCGUAAUUUCCAUCGGGCCUGCAUCUCGGAUCAUUGAGACAUUCGUGGAAAAGCUACAUAGGAGUGUCCCUUCAGAGACGGAGGCUGUGAGAGCUAGGAAACCCGGGUUUCUCUACCAUGAGCUCCUCCCUUCUGAGCCUCGAUUUCUCCAUCUGUGGAAUGGGAGGCACGACGACCAUCGCGCUUACCCUCCGAGUUGGUGUGAGGCUCUGAUGGGAUA
ensembl:lncRNA